CAAUGUGGCUCAGUCGGUAGAGCAGCUGAUUCGUAAUCAGCAGGUCAAGGGUUCGAGUCCCUUCAUUGG
rnacentral:tRNA from 1 species